rnacentral:lncRNA from 1 species
UCUUGGGCCAAUAGGGAGAUAAGUCAAUGAACUUUUGAUGGUAUUUGAGGCUGACAUCUUACCUUGUUUUAGCUUUGUGAAUUCUUCCCUCUUUCGGUCCUUAUACUUCAGAGGUGUGAAUCUCACCUCAAAUAGGCAUCUGAACACAUUCAAAUUCGUGGCAUCUUGAGCAAACAAUGGGCAUGACCACUGAGCCCACCAUGAUCCAGCUCCUAGAUGGAAGAACCAAGUUGUUGUCUCGACCUAUUUAUCAUCUGGAAGAUUCCCCAGUCCCUGCAUAACUUGGAAAGUCUUCUCAACAUGGUCGAUCCAAAUCUCGAAUAUCUCA